rnacentral:rRNA from 1 species
GACGAACCGUGCGAACGUUGUUCGGAUUCACUGGGCAUAAAGGGCGCGUAGGCGGACGGUCAAGUCGGGGGUGAAAUCUUUCAGCUUAACUGGAAAAGUGCCUCCGAUACUGAUCGUCUCGAGGGAGGUAGGGGCAUGUGGAACUUCCGGUGGAGCGGUGAAAUGCGUAGAUAUCGGAAGGAACGCCGGUGGCGAAAGCGACGUGCUGGACCUCUUCUGACGCUGAGGCGCGAAAGCUAGGGGAGCAAACAGG